rnacentral:snoRNA from 1 species
AACCGUUACAACACUCUGGCGCUUACCGUCCUCUCCCUGCGGGGUUUGGGCAUUAUUCCGAUGUGGUUUACGCUUAUUUUAAGUAACGAAGAGCAACCGACCCGCUACUCACCGCGGUAACUUGGUGGCAUUUAUGUCGCUGUGGUUACAGUGGUCCAUAUUUGUGGUCUACAU